rnacentral:rRNA from 1 species
CCUACGGGAGGCAGCAGUGAGGAAUAUUGGUCAAUGGACGGGAGUCUGAACCAGCCAUGUAGCGUGAAGGAUGACUGCCCUAUGAGUUGUAAACUUCUUUUAUACAGGAAUAAAGUUGAGCACGUGUGCUUUUUUGUAUGUACUGUAUGAAUAAGGAUCGGCUAACUCCGUGCCAGCAGCCGCGGUAAUACGGAGGAUCCGAGCGUUAUCCGGAUUUAUUGGGUUUAAAGGGAGCGUAGGUGGGUUGUUAAGUCAGUUGUGAAAGUUUGCGGCUUAACCGGAAAAUUGCAAUUGAUACUGGCAAGCUUGAGUACAGUUGAGGUAGGCGGAAUUCGUGGUGUAGCGGUGAAAUGCUUAGAGAUCACGAAGAACACCGAUUGCGAAGGCAGCCUACUAAUCUGCAACUGACAUUGAUGCUCGAAAGUGUGGGUAUCAAACAGGAUUAGAUACCCGAGUAGUC